AACUAAGCGGAGGAAAAGAAACUAACAAGGAUUCCCCUAGUAACGGCGAGUGAAGCGGGAAGAGCUCAAGCUUGAAAUCUCCGCACAAGUUUUGUGUGGCGAAUUGUAGUCUAUAGAAGCGAUGUCAGCAUAGCUGCUCUAGUCAAGUUCCUUGGAAAAGGACAGCAUGGAGGGUUAUACUCCCGUCAUUGCUGGAGCAUGCUGUGUGUACGACACGUUUUCUUUGAGUCGCGUUGUUUGGGAAUGCAGCGCAAAGUAGGUGGUAAAUUCCAUCUAAAGCUAAAUAUAAGUGCGAGACCGAUAGCGAACAAGUACCGUGAGGGAAAGAUGAAAAGAACUUUGAAAAGAGAGUUAAAGAGUACCUGAAACUGCUGAAAGGGAAGCGAAUCGUAUCCAGUGUCUAUAAUCCGCAACAUAUUACAAUGAUGUGUCUUUGCUUUCCGCGUGUAGGUAGUAGCCUUGGUUGCACCUUGCGUGGAUUGGUUGAGACAUAUCGUUGCCCUGUGUUGUGGUGGGACGUCAAAGUCAGUUUGUACGUCGCAGGAAAUGAUUGACGAGGAAGAUAGGUUUGCUGCUUGCAGCGUUCCAUUAUAUCCUUAUCGAUGUCUGCUGUGACGGAGACUGAGGUGUCUUUAACAUGCUCUCGAGUCUAUUAGACAUUCACUUGGUUGAGUGCGUAGAUAGCUUGCUAUGUACGUGUUUAUACAGGGUGAUUGUGUUUGGUAGUAACUUGUUGCUGUUCGGGACUUUGGCGAAAUGGAGCGAUUCGGCCCGUCUYGAAACACGGACCAAGGAGUCUAACAUGUGUGCAAGUAUUUGGGUGUUGAAACCCCAGUGCGUAAUGAAAGUAAAGGGUAAUGUAGAUUGCCUUAGGUAGGAAAGCGCUGUAUGGUGCUGGCACUAUCGACCGAUCAUGAACCUUCGUGGUGAAAGAUUUGAGUUUGAGCACAUAUGUUGGUACCCGAAAGAUGGUGAACUAUGCCUGAGUAGGGUGAAGCCAGGGGAAACUCUGGUGGAAGCUCGUAGCGAUUCUGACGUGCAAAUCGAUCGUCAAACUUGGGUAUAGGGGCGAAAGACUAAUCGAACCAUCUAGUAGCUGGUUCCCU
rnacentral:rRNA from 1 species